rnacentral:rRNA from 1 species
CACGUGGGGGCCGAGCGUUGUCCGGAGUUACUGGGCGUAAAGCGCGCGCAGGUGGCCCCGUCUGCCCGGCGUGAAAUCCCUCGGCUCAACCGGGGGGGGUCGUCGGGGACGGCGGGGCUUGAGGGCGGCAGGGGCCGGUGGAAUCCCUGGUGUAGUGGUGAAAUGCGUAGAGAUCAGGGGGAACACCCGUGGCGAAGGCGGCCGGCUGGGCCGACCCUGACACUGAGGCGCGAAGGCGUGGGGAGCGAACGGG